rnacentral:rRNA from 1 species
ACUCCUACGGGAGGCAGCAGUGGGGAAUAUUGCACAAUGGGCGCAAGCCUGAUGCAGCCAUGCCGCGUGUAUGAAGAAGGCCUUGGGUUGUAAAGUACUUUCAGCAGUGAGGAAGGUGGGUAUGUUAAUAGCAUACUCAUUUGACGUUAGCUGCAGAAGAAGCACCGGCUAACUCCGUGCCAGCAGCCGCGGUAAUACGGAGGGUGCGAGCGUUAAUCGGAAUUACUGGGCGUAAAGCGCAUGCAGGUGGUUGUUAAGUCAGAUGUGAAAGCCCGGGGCUCAACCUCGGAAUUGCAUUUGAAACUGGCAAACUAGAGUACUGUAGAGGGGGUAGGAAUUUCAGGUGUAGCGGUGAAAUGCGUAGAGAUCUGAAGGAUACCGGUGGCGAAGCGGCCCCUGGACAGAUACUGACACUCAGAUGCGAAAGCGUGGGAGCAAACAGGAUUAGAUACCCCUGGUAGGUCAGUC